rnacentral:rRNA from 1 species
CCCGGGAGGGGAGUGAAAUAGUACCUGAAACCGUUGGUUUACAAGCAGUCAGAGAGUCGUUGUACCGCUUGCGGUGCAGCCUCGAUGGCGUGCCUUUUGAAGAAUGAGCCUACGAGUUGCGGUAUGUGGCGAGGUUAACCCGAGAGGGGUAGCCGAAGCGAAAGCGAGUCUGAACAGGGCGUUCAGUCGCAUGCUGUAGACCCGAAGCCAAGUGAUCUUGCCAUGGUCAGGUUGAAGCGGGGGUAAGACCCCGUGGAGGACCGAACAGGUACCAGUUGAAAAUGGUUCUGAUGAACUGUGGUAAGGGGCGAAAGACCAAUCAAACUUGGCGAUAGCUGGUUCUCCUCGAAAUGCAUUUAGGUGCAGCGUUGCACGUUCAAUUCCGGAGGUAGAGCACUGGAUGGGCUAGAGGUCCAACAAGAUUAUCGACCCCAGCCAAACUCCGAAUUACGGAAUUCCAGAGUGCAGCAGUGAGACCAUGGGGGAUGAGCUUCAUUGGUCGAAAGGGAAACAGCCCAGAUCAUCAGCUAAGGCCCCAAAUUCAGGACUAAGUGUAAAACGAUGUGAAAUUGCUUAGACAGCCAGGAGGUUGGCUUAGAAGCAGCCACCCUUGAAAGAGUGCGUAACAGCUCACUGGUCGAGUGAUUUUGCGCGGACAAUGUAACGGGGCUCAAGUCCUGAGCCGAAGCUAUGGAUUGCAACGAGAUUCGUCUUGUUGCAGUGGUAGAGGAGCGUUGAUGGAGUGCCGAAGCGACGAGGUAACUCGGCGUGGAGUUCCAUCAAGUGAGAAUGUAGGUAUGAGUAGCGAAAGAGGGGUGAGAAACCCCUCCGCCGAAUGCCCAAGGUUUCCUGGGGAAGGCUAAUCCUCCCAGGGUAAGUCGGGAGCUAAGGAGAGGCCGCGAGGCGUAUCCGAUGCACAACUGGUUGAUAUUCCAGUACCGCCGUGUACACGUCAAGCCCAAGCUCGAUAAAGCGGAGGCUGCCUUCGGGCGAAUCCGCGUAGUCGGGUGAGGGUAACUAAAGCGGGACACAGCAGGAUAGGUGAUCCGGAUUAAUGGAUUUCCGGGUAAGCGUGUAGGUGGGUCACGAUGAGAGUCGAGGCCGUAACACUGAGACGCAAUACCGACCUCGUUUGAGGGAAGUCACUGAUUCCACACUGUCGAGAAAAGCGCAGUAGUGAGUUGACACGGCGCCCGUACCCCAAACCGACUCAGGUGGGCGCGUAGAGAAUACGAAGGCGAUCGGGAGAACUGUGGUUAAGGAACUCGGCAAAUUACCUCCGUAACUUCGGGAUAAGGAGGACCCAUGAUGGUCAGAGACUUCGCGUCUCGAAGCUAAUGUGGGUGUCACAAACUAGGGAGCAGCGACUGUUUAACAAAAACACAGCAGCGUGCCAAGUCGCAAGACGAUGUAUACGCUGUGACGCCUGCCCAAUGCUGGAAGGUCACGAGGAUGAGUUAGCCGCAAGGCGAAGCUUUGAAUCUAAGCCCCAGUGAAUGGCGGCCGUAACUAUAACGGUCCUAAGGUAGCGAAAUUCCUUGUCGGGUAAGUUCCGACCUGCACGAAUGGCGUAACGACUGCUUCACUGUCUCAACCACCGACCCGGCGAAAUUGAAGUACGAGUAAAGAUGCUCGUUAGAUGUAGAAAGACGGAAAGACCCCGUGCACCUUUACUAUAACUUGGUGUUGGGCUUCGACCUUAACUGUGUAGCUUAGGUGGGAGACGUUGAAGCGCGAGCGCUAGUUCGCGUGGAGUCAUCAGUGAAAUACCACCCUGUUCAGUUUGGAGCUCUAACCUCGAUCCAUCAUCUGGAUCAGGAACAGUGCCAGGCGGGUAGUUUGACUGGGGCGGUCGCCUCCUAAAUUGUAACGGAGGCGCUCAAAGGUUCCCUCAGACUGGUUGGUAAUCAGUCGGCGAGUGUAAUGACACAAGGGAGCUUUACUGCGAGACUUACAAGUCAAGCAGUUGCGAAAGCAGGACAUAGUGACCCGGCCUUUGCUUGUGGAAGCGAGGUCGCUCAACGGAUAAAAGGUACGCCGGGGAUAACAGGCUAAUCUUGCCCAAGAGUCCAUAUCGACGGCAAGGUUUGGCACCUCGAUGUCGGCUCAUCGCAUCCUGGGGCUGAAGCAGGUCCCAAGGGUUGGGCUGUUCGCCCAUUAAAGCGGUACGCGAGCUGGGUUCAGAACGUCGUGAGACAGUUCGGUCCCUAUCUUCUACAUCCGAAGGAACUUUGAGGAAUGCUGUCUUUAGUACGAGAGGACCGAGACGGACGUAGCUCUGGUGUGCCAGUUGUACCGCCCGGUGCAUGGCUGGUUAGCCACCUACGGAAGGGAUAAACGCUGAAAGCAUCUAAGUGUGAAACCCGUUCCAAGAUGAGAGUUCCCAUGCGGACAACGCAGUAAGGCCCGUGGCAAGACCACCACGUUGA